GAUGAACGCUGGCGGCGUGCUUAACACAUGCAAGUCGAACGAACCUUCGGGUUAGUGGCGGACGGGUGAGUAACGCGUGAGAAUCUGCCCUCAGGAGGGGGAUAAACGGCUGGAAACGGCCGCUAAUACCCCCAUAUAGCCGAGAGGUGAAAUGAAAUUCGCCUGAGGAUGAGCUCGCGUCUGAUUAGCUAGUUGGUGGGGUAAUAGCCUACCAAGGCGUCGAUCAGUAGCUGGUCUGAGAGGAUGAUCAGCCACACUGGGACUGAGACACGGCCCAGACUCCUACGGGAGGCAGCAGUGGGAAUUUCGCAAUGGCGAAAGCCUGACGGAGCAACGCCGCGUGAGGGAUGAAGGCCUCUGGGCUGUAAACC
rnacentral:rRNA from 1 species